rnacentral:sRNA from 1 species
AUGGCUGUCGUCAGCUCGUGUCGUGAGAUGUUGGGUUAAGUCCCGCAACGAGCGCAACCCCCGUCGCAUGUUGCCAGCAUUUAGUUGGGGACUCAUGCGAGACUGCCGGUGACAAACCGGAGGAAGGUGGGGAUGACGUCAAGUCCUCAUGCCCCUUAUGUCCAGGGCUACACACGUGCUACAUUGGCGCAUACAGAGGGCUGCGAUACCGCGAGGUGGAGCGAAUCCCUUAAAGUGCGUCUCGGUUCGGAUUGCAGGCUGAAAUUCGCCUGCAUGAAGGCGGAGUUGCUAGUAAUCGCGGAUCAGCAUUGCCGCGGUGAAUACGUUCCCGGGCCUUGUACACACCGCCCGUCACACCACGGGAGUGAGCAACACCCGAAGCCGGUGGCCCAACCCGCAAGGGAGGGAGCCGUCGAAGGUGGGGCUCGUGACUGGGGUGAAGUCGUAACAAGGUAGCCGUAGCGGAAGCUGCGGCUGGAUCACCUCCUUUCUAGGGAGCAUCUACGCGAUGCCCCGAUCCAUGGUCCGUCGCAAGACGGAUCGCGCGGUCGCAGGGCCCUUGAGGCCAGGCGAUGUCUAAGCGGAUCGGGCCUAGCAUGUCGACCGAACCUGGCUGGAUGGCCGCGCCACGCGCGUCUCCCUCACUACUUGGGGAGCACAACCGUUCGCGGCCGCAACGACCCCAGCAUGCUGUUGAGUUUUGAGGGACCGGCGUCGACCGGUUCCCGUGAGGACGCGCCAGCACGGCGUGACCAAUCAACACGGAGAUCGGCCGGCGUUACACGUUUCUCCACGGUCCUUGAAAACUGCACAGAAGCCACAUUCAGCCGCCAUCGAUAAGCGGCGGCUGAAAACGGGUAUCACCGGGCCCUGCGUGACUCUUAACGAUCACGUUGGGCCAGAUCACCGUCAAGAUAGUAAGGGCACACGGUGGAUGCCUUGGCACCAAGAGUCGAUGAAGGGCGUGAACGGCUGCGAUAAGCCACGGUCAGGCGCUUAAUAGCCUUUGACCCGUGGAUUCCCGAAUGGGGAAACCCGG